GCAGCAAGGGGUAUAUGACCUUGCAAAGCUAAGCACAAGGUGGAAUUGUUCACAAGGGAAGAAGACAUGACACAGAGCCUCAAAGAAAACGGAGGAAGACAACACCACACCAUGGAGAAAAUGCAACACUUGAUCUCAGAGCACACUCUUUACUCGUGCCACGAGGAAUAAGAACUCUCAGUGGCUAGUAAACAGCCAGCCACCAACACGCUUGGUCAUUUUACUGUGUCAGGUCUAAUGGCCAGAUACCUCACCUACGGAGAAAGAGGACAAACAGCUGUUCACGUCUGGGAUUGAACAUUCAAUAAUGUCAAUAAUGGUGACAACUUUCCGAGGUGGAACUGCACCCCUGACCCAGAAAGAAAUCUACGGACGAAGAAAAGCACAGAAGUGGCUGAAUUUUACGAACAAGUUUGGCUUCUUAAAAUAAAUGGGAUAUGCUGUUGUAAUAUGUCUGCAAUCUCAAAGACGUGAAUUAAUACUCAAUAACGUUUUGGCAGGAAGAGUAGACAUAUUCAGUACGUUUUAAUGUUUUUUUACAUUGGGACCCAGGUACCUUUUGAGUACAUUAGAUAACACAAUAUCAGGCUAGUUAGGUUUUUAAAUUUGUAAAGUUUGCUUUGCUUUAGAACACAAUUUUAUGUUUCAAAUUAAUGUAUUGCCUAACUUUGACUUGAAAAAUACCGAACUUACCCCUUAAUGGCAACUAGCAAGACUGGCCACGUAAUUGUGAAGUCCAACGCUUUGCGCACAUUUUAAGACCUUAUAGCUAAAUUUAGGCCUUCUCCUUGAAGUCCUUCAUAGCACUAACAGGUUGAAGAGCUCUUUUUAAUCUCUAUUACUGUUUUGACUGAAUACUUAUACACAUUUCCUAUUUCUA